rnacentral:rRNA from 1 species
UAGGGAAUCUUCGGCAAUGGGGGGAACCCUGACCGAGCAACGCCGCGUGAGUGAAGAAGGUUUUCGGAUCGUAAAGCUCUGUUGUUAAGGAAGAACGAGUGUGAGAAUGGAAAGUUCAUGCUGUGACGGUACUUAACCAGAAAGGGACGGCUAACUACGUGCCAGCAGCCGCGGUAAUACGUAGGUCCCGAGCGUUGUCCGGAUUUAUUGGGCGUAAAGCGAGCGCAGGCGGUUAGAAAAGUCUGAAGUGAAAGGCAGUGGCUCAACCAUUGUAGGCUUUGGAAACUGUUUAACUUGAGUGCAGAAGGGGAGAGUGGACUUCCAUGUGUAGCGGUGAAAUGCGUAGAUAUAUGGAGGAACACCGGUGGCGAAAGCGGCUCUCUGGUCUGUAACUGACGCUGAGGCUCGAAAGCGUGGGGAGCGAACAGG